GCCCCUAUCGUCUAGAGGCCUAGGACACCUCUCUUUCAAGGAGGCGACGGGGAUUCGAAUUCCCCUGGGGGUA
rnacentral:tRNA from 2 species